rnacentral:rRNA from 1 species
UACGGGGGGGGCAAGCGUUGUUCGGAAUUACUGGGCGUAAGGGGCUCGUAGGCGGCCAACUAAGUCGGAUGUGAAAUCCCCAGGCUUAACUUGGGAACUGCAUCCGAUACUGGAUGGCUUGAAUCCGGGAGAGGGAUGCGGAAUUCCAGGUGUAGCGGUGAAAUGCGUAGAUAUCUGGAGGAACACCGGUGGCGAAGGCGGCAUCCUGGACCGGCAUUGACGCUGAUGAGCGAAAGCCAGGGGAGCAAACGGG